UACGUAGGGGGCAAGCGUUGUCCGGAUUUAUUGGGCGUAAAGAGCGUGUAGGCGGCCAGACAGGUCCGGUGUGAAAACUCGAGGCUCAACCUCGAGAUGUCGAUGGAAACCGUCUGGCUAGAGUCCGGAAGAGGAGUGUGGAAUUCCUGGUGUAGCGGUGAAAUGCGCAGAUAUCAGGAAGAACACCUAUGGCGAAGGCAGCACUCUGGGACGGUACUGACGCUGAGACGCGAAAGCGUGGGGAGCGAACAGG
rnacentral:rRNA from 1 species